GUUUAAUUGGUAGGCAUGCUGAUAUAUUUAUUGUGUUAUUGUUGCCGUUUCGAUUUUUUGAUGUCUCAUUUGAGUUGUUUCCUUAUUAGUUUUACAUGAAGUUAAGGGAAAAAGAGGUUUCCCUCAAUAGCAUUACCAUUUGGUAAAUGACCAUUGUAAUGUGAGUUAGAGAUUUAAAACUAUUCUCAGGUCUUCAUCUACAAAUUUGAGCUUUUAGUUUGAGUUAUUUCUUGACAUGGUAUUAGAGUCUUUUAGGCCAAAAGGUCCAGAAGCUGAAUUUUGGUCACUAUUAAUUAAAAAAUUUCAGCACAAGCACAAGGUAAAGC
rnacentral:misc_RNA from 1 species